rnacentral:ncRNA from 1 species
GUAAGAACAUUGAAGAGGAAUAGUAAGAAACUGGCUUUUUCUAGAGAAUUGGCGGUUGGUGCAAGUCAAUAUUAAGCUUAUUCUGAACUCGCCUCGGAGUUGCAAUGUUUCAUAAAGCAUUGCCGUCCAUCAACGUUAUUGAUAUCAAGUGAGUAUGCGUUUUUUGUAUGCUAACAAGGGUGGUACCGCGGGAAACCCUCUCGUCCCUUUU